rnacentral:lncRNA from 10 species
ACAGGUUCAAGUGAUCUUCCCACCUCAGCCUCCCAGGUAGCUGGGACUAUAAGCGAAGACCACCACACUUGGCUAUUUUUUUUUUCAGUAGAGAUGGGGUUUCACUAUGUUGCCCAGGCUUGUCUCCAACUCAUGAGUUCAAGCAAUCUGCCCAUCUUGGCCUCCAAAAGUGCUGAGAUUUACAGAUAACAAAAUCCUGGAAAAGAGAUGCCAAGUAACUUUUCCAAGAUCAAUGAUCUAGUAACUGGCAGAGCUGGGUGCAAACCAAAGUGGUCUGACUUUGGAACUAAUAUAUGAAAUAUAAAUCAUCUUUUAAGUGGAGUGGCCCAAGAACACUUUAUAUAUGACCUAUAGAAAGAACACUCAACUCUUUCCUGAAAAACAGUACCAAGUUGAAGGCUGAAGAGGGAGUGAAUAAAUGGAAAAGUAUUUUUUUCUUAGGUAAGAAGACUAUAUUGCACAUGUACACAAAUUAUGUUAUGUACCAUUUGUUACACAAACAUUUUCAAUAGCAAUGACUGAGAAUACCCUGAGAUUCCAUCUGUAAAUGGACAGUAUAAAUAAAUGUGGUAUAUUCAUA